UACGUAGGGUGCGAGCGUUGUCCGGAAUUACUGGGCGUAAAAGAGCUCGUAGGUGGUUUGUCGCGUUGUUCGUGAAAACUCACAACUCAAUUGUGGGCGUGCGGGCGAUACGGGCAGACUGGAGUACUGCAGGGGAGACUGGAAUUCCUGGUGUAGCGGUGAAAUGCGCAGAUAUCAGGAGGAACACCGGUGGCGAAGGCGGGGUCUCUGGGCAAACAACUGACGCUGAGGAGCGAAAGCGUGGGGAGCGAACAGG
rnacentral:rRNA from 1 species